GCUGCUGCUGCUGCUGUUGCUGUUGCUGCUGUUGCUGCUGCUGCUGCAGCAGCAGCAGCAGAAAGAGACAAAAAGGAGAGACAAUAAUACCUUUUCCCCUCUUCUCCCUGCUGCAUGCGUCUCCCUUGUCUCCUUUCUUAUUAUAAGUGUCUCCUUUUUAUU
rnacentral:snoRNA from 1 species